GGGUCGUUAGCUCAGUUGGUAGAGCAGCGGACUUUUACUCCGUUUGUCGCAGGUUCGAAUCCCGCACGACCCACCA
rnacentral:tRNA from 1 species